AUACGUAGGGGGCGAGCGUUGUCCGGAUUUACUGGGCGUAAAGGGUGAGUAGGCGGUUAUAUAUGUCAGGUGUAAAAGGUCAUGGCUUAACCAUGGUUAGCACUUGAAACUGUAUGACUUGAGUGCAGGAGAGGUAAGCGGAAUUCCUAGUGUAGCGGUGAAAUGCGUAGAUAUUAGGAGGAACACCAGUGGCGAAGGCGGCUUACUGGACUGUAACUGACGCUGAGUCACGAAAGCGUGGGUAGCAAACAGGAUUAGAUACCCUGGUAGUCCACGCUGUAAACGAUGAGUGCUAGGUGUUGGCCAACGAUGGUCAGUGCCGGAGUAAGCACAAUAAGCACUCCGCCUGGGGAGUACGUACGCAAGUAUAAA
rnacentral:rRNA from 1 species